UGUUUUUUUUUAUCAAAUAAAUGCGUAAGAGACUAUUUUCAAGAACAUUUUGAAAAAUCUUACAGACCCCAGACCUUUAUAUGUGAUUAUAAGUUGUUAUUUACAGAUAUUAUAGUAAUUAUUAUUUUUGUAGCAUCCUUGAAAUGAAUCUGUUUUUGCAGUUCAUAAAAACACAUGAAUAAUUAAUUCAUAAGUCUGAAUAAUCUGCUUAUAGAGUUCUGACCGCCAAUGGAAAGGAAAGGUCAUGGAACAACAUAUUAUAUUCUGUCCUCUUUGCCACAUGAAGCUGUUGUACAACAUAAGUUGACUCGGGUUGUGUGGGCUGCUUUGAAUGAUCCCUUUGCAUUAUUUUUUAAGCUUGUAUAUUCCAUUGUUCUUGCAUGGAAAAGAGCAAUACAUUUUCUGUUGAAACCAGAAGUCAUUAGAGCAAGGAACAACACAAGUGUGAGGAAAUAAAAUAUUGCAUUGUGUAAUGACCUGCCACAUCAUAUACUGUUUUUUGAAAUGCCUUCACUUUCUGUUGACAGAAUACAUCACAGAUAUUUCCUCUGAACACAGGAGGAGCACAAAGAAUGUGUGAAGAGCUAAAUCUCCCUCUUUUGGGCAGAGUACCCCUCGAUCCACAGAUAGGGGAGAAGCUGUGAGGAGGGAAGGUCUCUCCGAACUGAAGCUCCAGACUCUCCUGCUGCAGUGUCCUAUCAGAAUAUUGUCCAGAAAAUCAGAGAUUACUGUUCUUCCCAUUCUACACCAGACGAUCCUUGUUGACGCAGAAAUGUGCAUCAGAUCUUUGUCCAGCCAACUGGGAUGUCCUUUAAAUUUUCAUGUGGUGAAUCAGUCCAAAAAGAAAGGACAUUGUGAAUCGUGCUUUCUGCUCAACACUCUUGCUCACCUUCAUAAACUCAUUUACAGAGCAAAUGGAAAAUAUUAUCUAAAUUCCUGGCUUCCCUUCAAAACACAGAUUUUAGAUUAGAAAAAUAAUUUGUUAUAAUACAUAAAAAAAUGAAUUCAUGUUGUACAUUAGAAGUGCAGAUCACAAGUCAUCACCCAAUCCAAGAAUCCAAAUUUGUAAAUUGUAAAGGAUGAAACUGAAACCAAAAUAUAAUUAUUACCAUAAAGACAAUGAGCAUGUUUCAGCAGGCCAGGAGAAAUUAUGUCUGUUAUCAGAAAAGGUAAUAAUGUGUGCCAUAUAGUGGCUUUUUCCGUCACUUAAGAUAACAAUUUCUAAAUCCAGUCUGCACUAAAUCUCUGUUUAUAUGUUUUCUGAUCAAUAAAAAGCAAAAAUACCUGUUUUAUGUGUUACACACACAUAAUGUAUACACUUUUGUGUUGUUUCUUCUUACAUUGUAUGUCAAACCAACGAAUCAUUUCUGAUAUACCGGUACUUCAGAGUAUUUAUAUUAUUCUUCAUAAAAUAUUCAUAAUGCUACCGUAAGUGCUAAAUUUCCGGGGAUUUCCACUUUCAGUUUACGAAGGCGUGUGCCUGCCAGAGCA